ensembl:lncRNA
CACACACACACACACACACACACACACACACACACACACACACACACACCAUGCGGGCAUGUGCAAGCACUGCCCACUAUGGUGCAGGAAUGGCCAUUGAAACAGUGCUUCCCGCACUAAACGACCUUUCCUGGUCACCUUCAGACGUGCACGAGCAUCGUCCCCGUGCUCAUCGUCAUAACAACGGGAGGGGGUCCCGAUCCGUGCCGAGGACCUCCAGUAGGCCUCCUGCAACCAAUCCAAGAGCGAGAGAGCGACCGAUGGUGCGCCACACGCCUCCCCCGUGUCCCUGCGCAAGGUUACCGGGCCGGCCCAACUCAACCCCACCCGGAGCGGGUCCCCCGGCCGCGGAUCGUUACCACAUCGAAUCGACCCCCCCGCUGCUCAGCGCUGCAGGUGCGACGGGGCCGUAACCGGGACAAACAACAACGGCGCAGCCCGGCGCACACUGGCGAGGAGAGCGGCAGCCUCCAUCCGCGGACACGGGACACGCACCGAUGGGUGGAGGGAUGGGUGGAGAUCCGUGGCUACACACACGCGCAUUCACGCGCGCACACGCGCACACACGCAUUCUCCCUCAUGAUGCAUGCCAGCAGAAUGAUGACAGCGGAGUGCGGCCUGUGCUGAGACGUGCCACAUUCGGCCCACUUUCCCGCUGGUCCGUGCUACAUGCUACCGACGCAUCGCGGCGCGUCUCCACGCACAGAAUCACGGGUAGAGGGCAGUGACGCACGCGGGCGCGCACGGACUCACCGUGCAGGCCGAGCUCAAGGACAUCCGCGCGCGAGCGGGGAGGCAGAAUCCCCUUUAAUCUGCGUGCGCGUGGAGCGGAGAACGUCCCGAGCCGGAGGAGAGCGGCUGUGGGUCGGGCGGGGGGGCGGGAGGGGGUCGCAGAAGGCGGUCGCAGACGCGCAGGGAUGAGAGACGACGACGGCGCCGAUGGAUGCUCCGCUCCGGCACCCGACGGUCGGCUGGCGGGGAGACAGGGAGACAGAGAGACAGGGAGACAGGGAGACAGGGAGACAGACAGGGAGAGGAUGCGCCGGGUUGGGGUUUUAAACACCUCCGUUGCAGGGGGGGGGGGGGCAGUCCGCGCGCCAGACGAUGGGCUAGCUGCUAAUAUGGCAGAAUCAGGUUAACUGUUAAGGGCACUGCGAGAAAAAGAAAAGGAAAAACGAAAAGAGACGCCGCGCUGAGAGGAGAAGCUCAUGCGACAUCUUCGGAGGAGGAGGAGGGGUUCAGCCACUGACAGAGCCGCCCGCACAGGAGCUCGGUCGCAGCAUCCGAGAGAGGAAGUGAUGGAGGGGGGAGGGAUGCUGACGCGUCACCCCCACCGGCUGACAGCGUGAUGACGACAGCGAGCCGCCGCAGUGCAGCCGCCUCACCUCCGGAGUUUAAGAGCAAUAGUUGGAAUGCUGUUCAAGAACUAUUGCUCUUCACAUCGUUAUUCAACUCCUUCAUAUUCAUACACAUGUUUCUCCCACGCCACAUUCCAGCUCCUCCAAAUCAUCAGCUAUUAAACCCGUUCAGCUAUCAACAUUCAGGACUUUACCUCUUGAAUUAUAUAAAUCAAUAUUCUAAAUAAUUGAAAAAAGGUUCUUCAAAUUUCAAAUCCUUCUUCUUCUUCAAUCUUUACAACCACCCUUUGAACUCAGAAAAUCAGCUUGUUGAGAUCUAUUCAAUUCCUUCAAUAUCACUGAUUAUCUUUCAUCAGGAAACAUUUAUUGGCAUAAUAUUCCAUAAUAUAUAUAUAUAUAUUAUUGCCAUAAUAUGUCAGACAUAAGGAAUGUGACUUGGCGGUUGGUGCGUGACAGCAGACAGUGAACAAGACAACAGUGCACGAGGAAUAAGAUCAAAUAUAAUGCGUUCAGGAGUUUUUCAGAGCGUUUCGGGAAUUUUCAUGUGUGUGCAAACGAGAAAUAAUGCAAACUGACAUGAUGGAGUGGAGGGGAGCGUCAGAAUGAUCUAUUUUGCUUUAAUUAUAUUUUAUGAGUAAAGUUUAAUAUGCAGGAAAAUGCCCUGCUCUUUACGUGAUGUAACCACCAGAUCCAGGACGAGUUUCCCUGAAUCUCAACGUGCAGCUUGAAUCAGAGUUCAUGUCCGAGCAGGAGGAACCCACUCUCAAUCUUCUCAACCUCUUCCACUCAGUGCAGCCGUGGAGCUGAGGCUGAAGGCUGAAGGCUGAAGGCUGAAGGCAUCAAGGUUUCCUUCAUUAUUAUGUUUGCAAAUGUUUUACUUUAUAAUUUAAAAAAAUUGAAUAUCACUUACAUCUGCCAGAGGCAAUGUUUACGUUGGAUUUACUCUCCAGAGAAAGUGUCAUCUAACUGCAUGCAUUUUACUUUCCAUAAAGGUGACACUUUUUCAGGUACAUCAUUAUUCAAAUUUUGAAUGUUACAAUGACGUUUUACUGUGAAUGACCUCAUUGUGAGCUCACUAUUAACGUGGUGUGUCUUAAUCGUACAAAAAUCAAGUUGUAAAAUGUUGUGGUUUUGUGGGAGUUUAUGAAGACUUCCUGGAGUCACAGCUGGAUUUGUGGAAUUUAGGAUUGGAGUGGAUAAGUUUAACUCAUAAUGUUUGUUAUUUUCAUUUCAGACAUCCAGCAUCUCGAGCACGACCAGAGAUGCUGUCAUUCAGGGUCGACCUCGUGGAGUCGAUGGGUCAACUCAUAAAGAGUGUGAUGAUGCUGGUGAAGACGCUGUUUCACAGGAUCUUGCAAUACAAAAGAUGAAAAUCUACAGGAACAAGACGAACACGUCGGAGAGUCCAGACGUCGGUAUCGUGUUGGACGGAGUAAAAGUUCUGACUGCACCGAGGGACUUUCCAAGGGCUUUCUGUCUGCUGGUUGGGUUUGCGUGUGCAGUCAAUCUUUCACAUUCAAAGAAACUUAAACACAUUUAAGGUGUUCCAAGUUUUUUGGAGCUGAACUGUUCAAACCUUUGACCCCUGAAGAAAAAAAGGGGAUUGUUGUUACUGUUAGAACUCUCCAGUGUGGUUACUGUUUGUUCAAUGCAUUUUAAUUAUAUUUUUAAGAUUCACAUUGAGAAGUUUAGGUUUGGCUCUUUCCUGGAGUUUAGUUUUAGUGUUGCUAUCUAGUGUUAAUGCUGCUUUAUUUGUGUUGUUCAAAUGUAUAUAAACCAUGCUCAUUUAAUGCAGCUUUUCCUGUAUGUAUUUAUAGAAAUUGGCACAAAUAAAGUUUAACCUGCUGUACUUAUGUAUGAUGAUGUGUUUGUAAAGUUAAGUUAAGUGAUCUAGACAUAGAAAAAUUGUGGCAACAAAGUGACACGUAAUUGUAUUGAAUAGAUUUAAACAAUUAAUUUAAGUCCAGAAGGGCAAUGGUAAUGUGUUGAAUUAACUAACAAUGUGCUAAAAUGUGAGUUGAUAUAACUUAUUUUAUUCAGUAAAUCAAAUUUAAUUUUACCAAGAUUAGUAGUAUAUAACACUCAAUUUCAGUAAAUAUACAUACAUUCCACCCAAAUAUUCAGUAACUGCUAAUCAAUUACACCCAAAUAUUCAGUAACUAAAUCAAUUCCACCCAAAUAUUCAAUAACUGCUAAUCAAUUCCACCCGAAUAUGAAGUAAAUAUAAAUUAAUUCCACCCAAAUAUUCAGUAACUGUAAAUCAAUUACACCAGAAUAUUAAGUAAAUAUAAAUCAAUUCCACCAAGAUAUUCAGUAACUGUAAAUCAAUUUCAAUUAAAUAUUCAGUAAAUGUAAAUCAUAUUCAUCCAAAUAUUUAGUAAUUAUAAAUAAAUUUCAUCCAAAAAUUAAGUAAAUAUAAAUGUAUUAUGAUUAUUUUCUAGACAUGAAUCAUUUUUGCUUGUAAAAUAUUUUAGAUUUAAUUAUUUCUUUCAAUAAUAUUUGCUUAAAUGUUGAGUAAGUAAAUUCUAAUCAAUUAUAAUAAUUGUCACUUUGUUGCCACAAUUUUUUUACGUUACCAUUGGUCACAUUUUUUAGAGUGUUUCUGGAGAAGGGAGUUAACUUGCUCUUACAGACCCUCGAUCAAAGGAGCAUCGUGUGUUACCCUCAUCUUCACCUGAGUUCUUAUCUCAACUUGAUUUGUGGCUUCUCGUAAACUGGCACUGACGUUGGUCUUCAUGUGUAUAUAAACUAAGCGUUUUUACUGCUCGGAGUCGCCAUUACAAAGAGCGCUGAGAUACGUGCGUGUGUGUUGGACCUCCUGCUUGCAAGCAAUAGUUAGAGCCAGAUAUCUGCGGAGAAUUGUUCAUGUAAUGUUUUUCUCUUCUAAAUAAAUGUUAACUUUUUGACUUUAACUGAUCAACGUGGUG